rnacentral:lncRNA from 1 species
GCUGUGCACAGCAGUAUUGGCAAGAGGCUUUCCAAGCCACAGGACCGUCAGAGAGAGCUGGGUCUGCUGCCCAAGCCCCUGGAAGCUGUCUGAGUCCAGCUGCUACUUUAUUU